rnacentral:rRNA from 1 species
CAGUCGCACGGGAAUACGUAGGGUGCAAGCGUUAAUCGGAAUUACUGGGCGUAAAGCGUGCGCAGGCGGUUAUAUAAGACAGAUGUGAAAUCCCCGGGCUCAACCUGGGAACUGCAUUUGUGACUGUAUAGCUAGAGUACGGCAGAGGGGGAUGGAAUUCCGCGUGUAGCAGUGAAAUGCGUAGAUAUGCGGAGGAACACCGAUGGCGAAGGCAAUCCCCUGGGCCUGUACUGACGCUCAUGCACGAAAGCGUGGGGAGCAAACAGGAUUAGAUACCCCUGUAGUCCCUGUCUCUUAUACC